AUCCAACUGACGAGUUCCAAAUAGAACGAACCGAUCGUCCUGGAU
rnacentral:hammerhead_ribozyme from 1 species